rnacentral:rRNA from 1 species
UGUUGGUUAGCGGCGGACGGGUGAGUAACACGUGGGCAACCUGNCCUGUAAGACUGGGAUAACACCGGGAAACCGGUGCUAAUACCGGAUAAUUCUUUCCCUCUNCAUGAGGGGAAGUUGAAAGUCGGUUUCGGCUGACACUUACAGAUGGGCCCGCGGCGCAUUNAGCUAGUUGGUGAGGUAACGGCUCACCAAGGCGACGAUGCGUAGCCGACCUGAGAGGGUGNAUCGGCCACACUGGGACUGAGACACGGCCCAGACUCCUACGGGAGGCAGCAGUAGGGAAUNCUUCCACAAUGGACGAAAGUCUGAUGGAGCAACGCCGCGUGAGCGAUGAAGGCCUUCGGGNUCGUAAAGCUCUGUUGUUAGGGAAGAACAAGUACCGGAGUAACUGCCGGUACCUUGACGGNUACCUAACCAGAAAGCCACGGCUAACUACGUGCCAGCAGCCGCGGUAAUACGUAGGUGGCNAAGCGUUGUCCGGAAUUAUUGGGCGUAAAGCGCGCGCAGGCGGUCCUUUAAGUCUGAUGUNGAAAGCCCACGGCUCAACCGUGGAGGGUCAUUGGAAACUGGGGGACUUGAGUGCAGAAGANGGAAAGCGGAAUUCCACGUGUAGCGGUGAAAUGCGUAGAGAUGUGGAGGAACACCAGUGGNCGAAGGCGGCUUUCUGGUCUGUAACUGACGCUGAGGCGCGAAAGCGUGGGGAGCAAACAGNGAUUAGAUACCCUGGUAGUCCACGCCGUAAACGAUGAGUGCUAAGUGUUAGAGGGUUUCCNGCCCUUUAGUGCUGCAGCUAACGCAUUAAGCACUCCGCCUGGGGAGUACGGCCGCAAGGCNUGAAACUCAAAGGAAUUGACGGGGGCCCGCACAAGCGGUGGAGCAUGUGGUUUAAUUCGANAGCAACGCGAAGAACCUUACCAGGUCUUGACAUCCUCUGACACUCCUAGAGAUAGGAAUUNUCCCCUUCGGGGGACAGAGUGACAGGUGGUGCAUGGUUGUCGUCAGCUCGUGUCGUGAGANUGUUGGGUUAAGUCCCGCAACGAGCGCAACCCUUGAUCUUAGUUGCCAGCAUUCAGUUGGNGCACUCUAAGGUGACUGCCGGUGACAAACCGGAGGAAGGUGGGGAUGACGUCAAAUCAUCNAUGCC